rnacentral:lncRNA from 1 species
UUUUUAAAAUUCAUAAAACUAUAAUGGUAUAACUAAUAUGUUUCUGUCUACAGAGCCUUUAGACAACAUAUUUUUUAUCAUUAAGUGAUGUUAUUUUUUUUUAAGUGACUGAAGUUCCUAAAAAACCUGUGCCUGAGCGAAAACCACCAGCCAUUAUAGCUGAAAAGAAGGAAAAGAAGGAAGUAACAGUUCAAAAAGUUGUCAAGAAACCUGUCGAUGAAAAAGUGGAGGUAACCACUCAGAGGGUUGCAGAAGAAAAAGUCAAAAGGGCUGAGGUUACCAAGAAAGUUCUGCCACCAAAACCUACACCAGUGGUCGUUGAGGAAAAAGUUAUGAAAAAGGAAGUACCAACCGUAGAAACAUGGACUGUUUCAGAAGAAAAGAUGUCAGUUUCUGUCCA